rnacentral:rRNA from 1 species
AGUGAACGCUGGCGGUAGGCCUAACACAUGCAAGUCGAACGGCAGCACAGUAAGAGCUUGCUCUUACGGGUGGCGAGUGGCGGACGGGUGAGGAAUACAUCGGAAUCUACUUUUUCGUGGGGGAUAACGUAGGGAAACUUACGCUAAUACCGCAUACGACCUACGGGUGAAAGCAGGGGAUCUUCGGACCUUGCGCGAUUGAAUGAGCCGAUGUCGGAUUAGCUAGUUGGCGGGGUAAAGGCCCACCAAGACGACGAUCCGUAGCUGGUCUGAGAGGAUGAUCAGCCACACUGGAACUGAGACACGGUCCAGACUCCUACGGGAGGCAGCAGUGGGGAAUAUUGGACAAUGGGCGCAGGCCUGAUCCAGCCAUACCGCGUGGGUGAAGAAGGCCUUCGGGUUGUAAAGCCCUUUUGUUGGGAAAGAAAAGCAGCAGGUUAAUACCCCGCUGUUCUGACGGUACCCAAAGAAUAAGCACCGGCUAACUUCGUG